rnacentral:rRNA from 1 species
GACGAACGCUGGCGGCGUGCUUAACACAUGCAAGUCGAACGAUGAAGCCUUCGGGUGGAUUAGUGGCGAACGGGUGAGUAACACGUGGGUGAUCUGCCCUGCACUUUGGGAUAAGCCUGGGAAACUGGGUCUAAUACCGAAUAUGAUCAUGCUCUUCAUGGGGUGUGGUGGAAAGCUUUUGCGGUGUGGGAUGGGCCCGCGGCCUAUCAGCUUGUUGGUGGGGUAAUGGCCUACCAAGGCGACGACGGGUAGCCGGCCUGAGAGGGUGACCGGCGACACGGGGACGGAGGUAGGGCCCGGACUCCGAAGGGAGGCAGCAGGGGGGAAUUUUGUACAAUGGGCGCAAGCCUGAUGCAGCGCGGCGGGGUGGGGGAUGAGGGCCCUCGGGUUGUAAACCUUUUUCAGCAGGGACGAAGCGAAAGUGACGGUACCUGAAGAAGAAGGACCGGCCAACUACGUGCCAGCCGCCGCCGUAA